rnacentral:rRNA from 1 species
AUACGUAGGGAGCGAGCGUUGUCCGGAAUUACUGGGUGUAAAGGGAGCGUAGGCGGGAGUGCAAGUCAGAUGUGAAAUACAUGGGCUCGACCCAUGGGCUGCAUUUGAAACUGCAUUUCUUGAGUGCGGAAGAGGUAAGUGGAAUUCCCAGUGUAGCGGUGAAAUGCGUAGAGAUUGGGAGGAACACCAGUGGCGAAGGCGACUUACUGGGCCGUAACUGACGCUGAGGCGCGAAAGCGUGGGGAGCGAACAGGAUUAGAUACCCUGGUAGUCCACACUGUAAACGAUGAAUGCUAGGUGUAAGAGGUAUCGACCCCUUUUGUGCCGGAGUCAACACAAUAAGCAUUCCGCCUGGGGAGUACGGCCGCAAGGUUGAAACUCAAAUGAAUUGGCGGGG